rnacentral:rRNA from 1 species
GACGGAGCAACGCCGCGUGAGUGAUGAAGGUUUUCGGAUCGUAAAACUCUGUUGUUAGGGAAGAACAAGUACCGUUCGAAUAGGGCGGUACCUUGACGGUACCUAACCAGAAAGCCACGGCUAACUACGUGCCAGCAGCCGCGGUAAUACGUAGGUGGCAAGCGUUGUCCGGAAUUAUUGGGCGUAAAGCGCGCGCAGGCGGUCUCUUAAGUCUGAUGUGAAAGCCCCCGGCUCAACCGGGGAGGGUCAUUGGAAACUGGGAGACUUGAGUGCAGAAGAGAAGAGCGGAAUUCCACGUGUAGCGGUGAAAUGCGUAGAGAUGUGGAGGAACACCAGUGGCGAAGGCGGCUCUUUGGUCUGUAACUGACGCUGAGGCGCGAAAGCGUGGGGAGCAAACAGGAUUAGAUACCCUGGUAGUCCACGCCGUAAACGAUGAGUGCUAAGUGUUAGAGGGUUUCCGCCCUUUAGUGCUGCAGCAAACGCAUUAAGCACUCCGCCUGGGGAGUAC